rnacentral:lncRNA from 1 species
AGGCACUCAGGUUUCCUCUUGUUGAGAACACUCCCUGUUGCUAUUUCAGAUGAGAGAUCCUAGAGGGAGUCCACGGUGCAGCUCAUCAUCCUUCUUGGGAAGGCCACCAGCGCAACACACUCCAGCCUUGGUGCCUCAGGAAGCCACGUCACUCAUUCAUUCUCCCCUCCUACUUUCCCCCCCUCCACACAUUGUGGUUGUGGUUGAGUGUUUUAUUUGGUGUACAGUAUCUGAGUGGAAGAGGUAAGGAGCCUCUCUGAUCAGUGAGAUUCAUUUGGUAACAUAUACAGUACAGCACAUUUGGAAAGCAGGGAAACCUCACUGAAAAUCGGCUACUCAAGAGUGCAAGAUCCAGUGGAAGGAUGGGAAACUGUCAACCAAAAAUAAGGUGGAAGAUGAGCGUUCCCGUGUGGAGGAAGAGAUACUCCGACAAGGGAACACAGACCGAGAGUCACCCACCGAGCCCUGCCCAGGAACACUGUGACAAAAAAGGCUCUAUGAAUACCAGCGGAAUGUGGUAUUCUACUGUCAGCCACGAUGUCAAACCUGAAUCUUAUGCAACUGACACCAAAAAUCAGACAGAAUACGCAAUUGUCAACAUACCUAAGAGCAAGCAAUAUACCACCUACUCUGAAGACCAGAACACAUACGAUUAUGUCCUGAUCCAUUAGAAAGGAAGCCUUUCUGNNNNNNNNNNNNNNNNNNNNNNNNNNNNNNNGCAUUCCUGAAAGCUACGUGAAUAUUUAAGCCGGCAGCACGCAGCCUUCCUUCUCAUCCCAUUUGUUGUGCUGGCUCUUCAAACAAGCUGGAGAGCAUCUCUCCUAUGUUAUAAAAGCUUACGUCUUCCAGUCAGUCUAAAUGAGACAAAUCUGAAAAAGGAAUCACAGAAAGAAGCAUGGAGAGGAUACAGGACUUAACAAUUAAAACAAGAAGAAUCAGCAGUAGCUACCCUUGCAAAGCAAUGUUUCUUUGUAGAAAACGGAGUGCUUUUUGCUAGAAGCAAUUGAGGCUUCAUGAUUUUUCCAGAUUUUCAGGAUUUUUACAGUGCCUUUUUUAAGGGAUAUAGUAGAAUUUAUUAUAGAAAUCUCAAAAAUUCAAUAAUAAUAAUAACCACCUCCUUUAAAAAAAAAAAUCAUAAACUUUGUGCUAGGUGAUCUUGCUCUUCCAGAGUUUCUCUGGCCUGCUUCAUAUAUAUCAGUAUACACACAAAGAUACAACCUGGAUAAAGGCAUCAUUUCUCUAGUUGUUCUCCUCGACAACUCUUAAUGCAAUACUACUUGUCACAGAGUGAAGUCUUAACAAAACUGGAUAGAAUGAAGAACGCAACAAACUGCACACAAUAAAUAAACAAAUAAAUAAAUCUAGGCA